GCAGGAAAUAGUGAGGAGCUGCCAUUGUUCAAGGAUAGCUGCAGAAAAUUAGACUUACAACGUGUGUGAUUGAGAAAUGAGAAGCCUCCUCACACAACACAGCCGACUGAAAAUGCAUACGUCGUCGGAAGUGGCAGCUCCAAUGACGUGGCUCGUUCUCACGCUCCUGCUCUCAUCAGCGGUUUACUUUUGCCUUCUUCCUUUGAUUUUUUGUCCUUCGAUUGGAUGGCACCCGCCGACGAUUUACAUUUCACCUACGCAUACGCAUGUGCCGCAGGCCGCCGCCGUGGAGACGGUGAAAGUGGUCACCACCCCAGUCUUCCCUCAGAUCCCUCGGCUCCAGGCAAGCAAAGACUUCCAGGUGGUGGUGCGCCUCGAGGCGCCACCGGUGGCGCAGCAGAAGGCGCGCGUCCCCGUCGACCUCGCCGUGGUGCUCGAUGUGGGUGCCGGUGGCGGUGGCAGCACCGGCUCGGCGAGGCUGGAUGCGGUGAAGAAGGCCGUCAAGUUUAUCAUCGGGCAGAUCCAUGACAACGACCGUCUCGCCGUCGUCGGGCCGUCGCCCAACCGCCGGCUAGUCAUCGGGUUUCCGAGCACUCACGAGGCUCGACAGAAUGCCGAAAAAUCCGUCGACGACCUGGAGCCCCGUGGCGAGUUCGCGUCCGGCGCCGGCUUGGAGGAGGCCGUCAAGCUGAUCCGAACAACUGGAGUCUCAGAUCCUCGGGGAGUUACCGGCGACGGCGAGCGGGAGCAGCCGCGCGCGCUUCGUCAUCCUGGUGACCGACACGGCGGUGACGGAGGGCAGCGGCGGCAGAUUCGGCAAGCUGCGGCGCGAGCUCCUCCCCCCGGUGCACACGUUCGGCCUCGGCGCGGGGCACGACCCCAGGGCGCUGCUCUCCAUCGCCAGGGAGUCCCAGGGCACCUACUCCUUCGUCGACGACCAGAACACGGACGGCAUCACGGGCGCCAUCGCCAUCUGCCUCAGCGGGCUCAAGGACGUGGUCGCCGUCGGCACGCGCGUCCGCGUUGAGGCGCCUGUCGGGAGCGGGGUCACGAUCGAGAGGAUCGAGUCGGGGGGGGUACAGGACUAACCCCAACACCGGAGACGACAAGACGUACGGCGAGGUCGCCGUAGGCGCCCUCUAUGCCGAAGAGGUGAAGAGCUUCAUCGUCCACCUCCAGGUGCCUGCUCUGCCUUCGACGUCGGCGAUGACGACCUCCUCUUCCGUCGACAACGGAGGCUGCGACAAGCAACAGCUGCUCACCGUCACCUUCGCCGGCCACUACGCCACCAGGGACGAGGGAGGUGCCACGUCUCCAGCUUCUCCAAGUCCGACAGUGACCACCACAGCAAUCUUGUACGUGCAAAGGCCGCCGCCGGAAGCCCUCGACGUCGCCGGCGGCGGCGCGCUGUUCAGAGUCCCCGUCCCCGCGGUGAUGAACCUCAUCGCGCGGUUCGGCGUGCUGGAGAUGGUGACCACCUUCGUCGAGAACGAGAUCUGGCGGCUUAGUUCUUCCAGUUCCAGCACGGUGGAAGUGGCGACAAAGCUGCGGACGCAGUGGGAGCAGUUCGUGCAGGCCCGGCAGUUCUGGAGCGGCCUGGACCUGGGAGUCCUCGACGUCGAGGUCAACAGGAUGGCGAGCAUCCUAGAAGCAGCAGGAACCCGAAUCGGUUCGUCGGCGACGGCCUACAUGCUGUCGUGGCUGUCGAGCUACCAGAUGCAGCGGCCGACGGCCAUGGGCUCGCCGAGCAUCGUGGCCGCCGCGUUCGUCACCGUGAAGAUGCAGCUCACGCUGCAGCAGGCGACCAUCGUCACCAUUCGUCCACAACCAUGCAUCGGCGGCUGCCCGGCGUGCGAGUGCGGGUGCGAGGACCGCUGCGUGCAGCCACUGCCGCCGCCGGUGCUCCUGCCGUCCGGACGCGGCGACGACACCUACCGCGUCAACCCCGCGUACCCGCAGGGCGUACUGUUCAACGCCAUCAACCAAGCAAUGGAGCAGAUGUACCUGGCGUUGGUCCGGGCGAGCAAUCUGACGCGUUGCGACGACGCUGCCCGCGUCGAGUUGUUCCUGCCGGCAUGAUCCGGCGACCGAUCGACGACGACUCACGGGGUACGGGCAACUCGCCGCCGAUCGAUCCAUCAAGGAUCUAGCUAGCUGUACCGUCUACCGUAUACCGUUCUAGUAGGCUAGUAGUAUACGGUGGUGUGCUUAACUAUACAAGCUAAGUACUGUACGACCAAGCUUAGCUUGUCAUAAAUAAGCAAUCGAUCAUACGCACUCCAUAACUAGUACAUGCUCGUAUGCGUUGCCUUGUGCUCUCAUUUCCUUUCUAUCCAGAAACCCUCUACACUACAUCUACACAGUUAUGUACUUAUGUUACUCGCCAACGAGCAUUUUCGAUGCAUGGAUUGGCCUUGCCUCCAUAAUCUACUGCUAGGCAGUUUGAUAUCAAUAUUUCGUAACCUUGUA